GUCUCGGUAGCUCAGUUGGAUAGAGCACAAGGUUCCUAACCUUGGGGUCAGAGGUUCGAAUCCUCUUCGGGACACCA
rnacentral:tRNA from 1 species